rnacentral:lncRNA from 1 species
UGACUCCAUAGGAUGUAGUUGGAAAGAAAGAUAAGUCUUAAUCGUGUUAAGAUUUGAGGUUGUGUGCUAAUAAGCAAUAUUUGUUUGAGAAUUAUCUUGUGGAUAUCCUUAAAUUAACCUUUGGAUAUCACUUCUAUAAACCAAGUAACAAUUGUUGUUUUGUUGGGUAGUUCAUUGUAAUCCUACAAUAUGAUUUGCCUAAGCGCAAAUGAACGAGAGAUAGAACUCAAAGAAUGGGUUCUUUGAGAGACAAGAUGAUAAUCAACAAAUAUAACAACGUAGUUCCUACACCACAGGCUUCAAGGUAGUCGAGAAGGAUUUAUAAACCGUCUCAGUUGAAUGGUUUGAACUUUAUGACUAUGUCAUAGAGUUACACCUCUUAAUUCGAAAGAAAUAAGAAUGAAAAUCCUUAUGACUACAUUGAGUGUACAUACGACAUAUACUCAAGGAAAUGGUAAAGUACCAUUUGACCCGAAAUAUUGAAACCUUUAAUAGCUAAUUGGUAGCUUAAGGUGACUACAAUCAAAGAGAUUGGUUGACUUGGAAGAAACCAUAUUUGAUGUAGUCUUGGUUUCAAUAAUUCAAAGAUUGUUGGCUACAACUAAAUGGUGAUUCAAUGUUUGGACAUAAUAUGGGUUUCCAAAACCAUUAUUAAGAUAGUCUUGAUAAUAUAUGUCUAAAACUAUGAAUCACAAGACAUGUAAGUUGUAGAGAUCCAUCCAUCGUGAAUCUUAGCAAGCUAGCGGGAGCUAUAAGCGUCUUAUGAGAGAAAGAUCAAAUCGUUUGAUUUCUCAUAAAGAUGUAAAUGAAUCUUUUGUUUAAUAGGUUUACAAAAGAUUAGUGGGAGUUAAUCAUGUUCCUAAAUUUGAAUAUAUAUACACAUAUAUGAUAUAUUAAUUCUGGAAAUGAAAAGAAUACUUCUUCGUUAAAGUUAUGACUUUAAACAUUCUAUAACGAUAGAAUAUAUAUGGGAGACAUAGUCUAUAAACAUGGGAUGGAAAUCUAUAAUGAUAGAUUUCAAGAUAUAAUUGGAUUAUAUCAAGCCCUAAUGAUAGACAAAAGAUGCUAGGAAGUUUCUCAUAUGAUGAUAAACUUCAAUCAAAAGAACAACUCUAGUGAGACUAGGAGGUGACUCUUCUCAAAGGGAACGUACCCUUUUGACUUCUAAAGAAACAUAAUGCGUAAAUAUAAUCCUUUAUGUAUACGCAGAAAGGUGAUUUAUGUAUUUCAUAUUGUAUGAAAAACGUUGAUAUGAGUUGUACCAAGAUCAGUACAAAACGAUAUCAAUGCAAGCCCAGGAUCAGAACCAUGGCAACUGUCAAGUGAAUCCUUAAGUAUUUGAGAAAUAAUAAAGGAUGGAUUCCUCAAGAAUGAGGAAGAAUUAGAGUAACGUAAUGGAAGUGUAAAUGUAUUAGAUUAUGAAUCUAAUCCAUCAUUGGAUGUUUCUUCAUUAUGAAUGAAGAGAUAAUCAGAUAUCUCUUUAUUAUGACUAAAGAGAUAUUUGGAUAGAAACAUUAAAAGUAAUGACUUUAGUGUGUUCCAUUGUGAAUGCAAAAUAUAUUGCCAUAUAGAAGCUUACAACAAUGUUGUUUGGAUGAGAAAGUUCAUUCAUGAACUCUCUAUUCGGUUCCAACCAGAAAGCGUCUCUAGUGUACCGACACUACGACACUAAUGGGGUGAUAGCUCAAGCCAAGGAAUCAAGGUCUCAUCAUGAUCCAAACUUAAAUGAGAGACUAAAUCACAUGAUUAAGAAUCAUGUAUAAUGGUGACGUUGUUAUUCUCAAGGUUGCUUCUAUGGAUAACAGAUAGAUAUCCAUUGUCUAGGCCUACUACUCAGCCAUUUUUGAAAUGACUACAUAAAAGGUAUCAUCAUUGAUGACCAAGCUGAUUGGCUCUAGUGCAAAUGGGAGAUUGUUGGAAAUGUGCCCUAAAACCAAUCAUAUGAUGAUACUUUACGGACAUUUCACAUGUUAAACUAAUAUAGUUUAAUUUAAAAGGCAAAAUUAUUGUUUGAAGCCGUCUCAUAUAAAUGUUAUACGCUUAAACGAUAAGUCCAAGGAAUAUGUAAUUGGGAGAAUGCGAUCUAAAGAAGUUAGAUUCAUGAGACCAUUCUCUUUCAUAUACAUAUCCUAAAUGUUCCUGAUCAUAGGAUUGCCAAUUGGGCAUUGACAGUCCGCUAAGAUCAGUACAUGCUAUGUCUUCUCUUAGGGAGAGUGACUAGUCUCGAGUCAUUGGUGUGACUGACACCAAGAUAAGUACGUAGGUGCUCAAUAGAGAAUGAGUUCACUGAACGCGAUCAACAAGGAGUUCUAAUACUCAUGUCACAUGAGAACUCAUGGUUGGGAUAAUGCAAAGUAGUCGACCUGAGGCAUCAUAGUUGUCUUGUGGUUAGGUCCUUGAUCUUUGACUAUGUCAAAGUCACUCCAUCCAAGGGUGUCCACGACAUAAUUAGGGUUAAGCCACUUAGCCAUGGAGGCAAGUGAAUGCGCAACAAGGGAUCUCUAACCUUCAAACUGUUUGAAGGAGAAACUCUAUGAUAUGAUUAAGAAUCUCUGGCCAGAGUAUGAAUGAGAUUUCAGAAGUCGUUCCAAAUCACAUUCAAGUUAAUCAUAUAAGUAAAUGAAUCACAUUAGAUGGUAGACAUGAAUAAACUAUCAAACCAAACAAUGUGGUCAAGAGUAUUGUGUUAGAGAAAGACGGUAUUGCAUUGUAAUCCUAAAUUGAAUAGGUUCUCCACCUCUUCUGAUUAACUUGGGUAACCAUGACAUACUACUAGGUGCCACUCAUGAAGGGAAAAUUAUGAGUUUUCACAUAUAGGGAUUUCAAAAAGACUAACAUGCAUAUACAAAUCAAAUUUAAUAUACGAAAGCAGCGGAAGCAUUUAUAACAAAUUAUCACAACUAGUCAUGUAAAUCCCCUUCAAGGUUCAUAGGUUUAUAUAUAAUGCAUCAAAACAAUUUUAGAGAAGAACAAAGUGAAGGUUUAGUCUAAUACCUCUUGAUCUAGACUUGAGACCAAGGAUGGACCACCUCCAAGCCCUUUGUUCCUUGAACUCCUUGAGCCUAGCUUCCCUCCUUGCCUUCUCCACUUUGUUAGAAUGAGUGCUCCUAGGUUCUCUUCAAGUUUCCAAAGUAGGAAACCUCUAAAGAUUCUCACCCACUAGUGUAGUGAGAAGGAUGAAGGAAUAACCAAAAGGGUGAAAGAUGUGUUAGUAAAAACACCCCU